CCUACGGGCGGCAGCAGUGAGGAAUAUUGGUCAAUGGACGGAAGUCUGAACCAGCCAAGUCGCGUGAGGGAAGAAUGUCCUAUGGAUUGUAAACCUCUUUUGUCAGGGAGCAAAGUCACCCACGUGUGGGUGUUGGAGAGUACCUGAAGAAAAAGCAUCGGCUAACUCCGUGCCAGCAGCCGCGGUAAUACGGAGGAUGCGAGCGUUAUCCGGAUUUAUUGGGUUUAAAGGGUGCGUAGGCGGGUUAUCAAGUCAGCGGUAAAAUCGUGGAGCUCAACUCCAUCCAGCCGUUGAAACUGGCGGGCUGGAGUUGGAGAGAAGUACGCGGAAUGCGCGGUGUAGCGGUGAAAUGCUUAGAUAUCGCGCAGAACCCCGAUUGCGAAGGCAGCGUACCGGCUCCACACUGACGCUGAGGCAUGAAAGCGUGGGUAUCGAACAGGAUUAGAUACCCUUGUAGUC
rnacentral:rRNA from 1 species